UUGAACGCUGGCGGCGUGCUUUACACAUGCAAGUCGAGCGGCAGCACGACCUUCGGGUUGGUGGCGAGCGGCGGACGGCUGAGUAACGCGUAGGAACGUGCCCCAAAGUGAGGAAUAACUGCCCGAAAGGGUGGCUAAUGCCGCAUAUGAUCUUCGGAUUAAAGGAUUUAUCCGCUUUGGGAGCGGCCUGCGUUAGAUUAGGUAGUUGGUAGGGUAAUGGCCUACCAAGCCGACGAUCUAUAGCUGGUCUGAGAGGAUGAUCAGCCAGACUGGGACUGAGACACGGCCCAGACUCCUACGGGAGGCAGCAGUGAGGAAUCUUCCACAAUGGGCGAAAGCCUGAUGGAGCAACGCCGCGUGAAGGAUGGAGGCCCUAGGGUCGUAAACUUCUUUUAUAAGUGAAGAAUAUGACGGUAACUUAUGAAUAAGCACCGGCUAACUACGU
rnacentral:rRNA from 1 species